rnacentral:lncRNA from 1 species
AUGCACCGGGAGCCCGACGUGGGAUUCGACCCCGGGUCUCCAGGAUCGCGCCCUGGGCCAAAGAUGAGGAAAUGGAAAUCUCAAGGAAUCAGACCAUUUUUGCCAACCUUCCCUCCUGAGCCCUUUCACCUUGCACCAAUCCCAUACCAAGCAAUGCUCCUUCGAAGGGGAACACAAUGGCUGGAUUACACAGGUCAUGAUCUCCUGGACCAAGCCCUGCAUUGGACUCUGCGCUCAGAUUCUCUCUCCCUCUCCUGCCAGUUCACGCAUGCACAUGAUAUUUCUCUCAAAUAAAUAAAUAAAAUAUUUAAAAAGAAGGCAUCCAAUUUGGUAAGGAUUUUAAGAAUUUUAAAGGCAUGUUUUGUUACUUUCUAAUUCCCAUUUCUUUAUAUAGACCUGUUUUUCUCUCUCUGAAAGCUUUUAGAAUUGUAACUCUAUCCCAUCUGAUUAAAACUUUGUGAUGUUCUUUACUGGUAUGGAACAUAUAUUUUAUCCAUUAUGCUUCACACUCAAUAUCCCCUUCUACCCUAAAUUUUCAUUCUUUAUUUCUGAAAAUGUUUCUCAUAUAUUUCUUCAAUAAUUUUUCUUUAAUUUCUCUGUUCUCUCUUUCUAGAAGUCUGUUAGUACAAUGUAGAAUCAUGUUUGAUCCUCUCAUUUUCUUCUCUUUUCUAUCCAAUUUUCCAUCUCACUGACUCUCUGUUCUAAUUUCUAAAAGAUAUCUCCACUUUAUUCUCCAACUACUCCAUUGAUUUUUAUGUAACAGCAAUCUGAUCCUCUUUUGGAUAUAAUAAUUCUCCCAAAUCUCUGAGGAUGUUAAUCCUUCUGAUCUUGGUAUUUACUAUUUUUCCCUGGGGUUUCCUCUUAUUCCUAUCUGUUCUGGUCUCUAUGCUUAGAGGUUGUCUCUAAAUGCCUGGUGAUCCUUGAUUUUCUAAACAUGUUGAGUGAAGGCCUUGAAAACUGAUUGGAAGCUCUUUGUGCAAGUGGUAUGGUAGACUUUCCUAGAAAACAAUCUGACUAUUUUGUGAAGAAAUACCCGAUUGUCAAUAUAUGUGGGUCUUUUUUUAAAAGCCAGAACAGAGAGAAAUCCAAUCUUCAGUAUAAAAAAGUAUACAAAGUAUACAAUUCUGAUAGGUUGUAUCCUUGGAGGUGAGUGGGAGGAAUGGGAUCACUCAGUUAAUAUCCCUCUUUUUCAAAGACUUUUUUUUUUUUUUAACUCAUGAGAGACACAGAGAGAGAGGCAGAGACACAGGCAGAGGGAGAAGCAGGCCCUAUGCAGGGAGCCCAACGUGGGACUUGAUCUCGGGUCUCCAGGGUCACAGCUUGGGCUGAAGACGGCGCUAAACCGCUGAGCCACCUGGGCUGCCCUCAAUAUCCCUCUUUUUCUGCUACUCCCCAUCUAACAAUGUAUCUGAAAAUCUUGAGUUCCUUGGUUUAAUUCUCAGGUCAAUAAAUCUUCAGUAUUUUUCCUGGGAUUGUAUCUGAUUGUGUGAGGGCAGCAAGAAGACCUGUAUGAUCUAAAUGCUUUUAAAAUCGGGAUCCCUGGGUGGCGCAGCGGUUUGGCGCCUGCCUUUGGCCCAGGGCGUGAUCCUGGAGACCCGGGAUUGAAUCCCACGUCGGGCUCCCGGUGCAUGGAGCCUGCUUCUCCCUCUGCCUGUGUCUCUGCCUCUCUCUCUCUCUCUCUCUGUGACUAUCAUAAAUAAAUAAAAAUUGAAAAAAAAUAUUAAAAAUAAAUGCUUUUAAAAUAGAUGUUUAAGCAGUUUUGUAUCUCUGCCUCCAAAUAUAAUCAAUUUCACCAAUUCCUGAGCCUUUCAGGGGUAUGGAGGCAUGAAUUAGCUUCCUUUUUUGUUUAUGCCUUACUUAUUCAGCUUUCUCUGGUUUUCCAGUAAGUUAAAGCUUGUAUAUCUACUAUUAGGGAUCUAAAACUUAAAUGAUAUCUCUUAUCCACUAGUAUCCCUAAUGGCAUUUUCUUUGACCUUUUGGGUGUAUUCUCUUUGUUAGUUCUUUUCAGCAAUUAUUUUGCCAUCAUUUAACUGUGGUUUCAGGAGGCAACAGAGAAAUAUGUGCAUUCAGUCUAUAAUGUUUAAACAGAAUCACAUCUAAUAUUCUACAUGCUUUUAGUUUACAUAGUUGGCCAUAUUGAAGAAUACAAUUUAAUAUGCUAUUCUUUUAUGUAUUGUUUUAUUUAUUUAUUUUUGUAAAGAGAGAGAGAAAGAGAGGAGAAGGGGAGGGCAGAGAGGGAUAGAGAGAGAGAAUCUUAAGCAGGCUCUAUGCUCCGCGAAGAGCCCAAUAUGAGGCUAUAUCUCAUAACCCUAAGGUCACGACCU